rnacentral:rRNA from 1 species
GACGAGUCCAGAGAGUUUGAUCCUGGCUCAGGAUUAACGCUGGCGGCGUGCCUAAUACAUGCAAGUCGAAUGGUAGCAAUACCAUGGCGAACGGGUGAGUAACACGUAGGUAACCUGUCUUUAAGACGAGGAUAACCGUUGGAAACGACGGAUAAUACUCGAUAGGUGAUUUGAGGGCAUCCUUAGAUCAUUAAAGAUUUAUCACUUAGAGAGGGGCCUGCGGCGCAUUAGCUAGAUGGCGGUGUAAUGGACCACCAUGGCGAUGAUGCGUAGCCGGACUGAGAGGUUGAACGGCCACAAUGGAACUGAGAACGGUCCAUACUCCUACGGGAGGCAGCAGUAGGGAAUUUUCGGCAAUGGGCGAAAGCCUGAACCCGAGCAACGCCGCGUGAACGAAGAAGUAUUUCGGUAUGUAAAGUUCUUUUAUCGGGGAAGAAAAUAUUCAAAUUGACGGUACCUGAUGAACAAGCUCCGGCUAACUACGUGCCAGCCGCCGC